AUAAUCAUGGAGUAUAAUAAUUAAAUUUAAUAAAUUUAAUAUAACUAUUAAUAGAAUUAGGUUACUAAUAAAUUAAUAACAAUUAAUUUUAAAACCUAAAGGUAAACCUUUAUAUUAAUAAUGUUAUUUUUUAUUAUUUUUAUAAUAAGAAUAAUUAUUAAUAAUAAUAAACUAAGUGAACUGAAACAUCUAAGUAACUUAAGGAUAAUAAAUCAACAGAGAUAUUAUGAGUAUUGGUGAGAGAAAAUAAUAAAGGUCUAAUAAGUAUUAUGUGAAAAAAAUGUAAGAAAAUAGGAUAACAAAUUCUAAGACUAAAUACUAUUAAUAAGUAUAGUAAGUACCGUAAGGGAAAGUAUGAAAAUGAUUAUUUUAUAAGCAAUCAUGAAUAUAUUAUAUUAUAUUAAUGAUGUACCUUUUGUAUAAUGGGUCAGCAAGUAAUUAAUAUUAGUAAAACAAUAAGUUAUAAAUAAAUAGAAUAAUAUAUAUAUAUAAAAAAAUAUAUUAAAAUAUUUAAUUAAUAUUAAUUGACCCGAAAGCAAACGAUCUAACUAUGAUAAGAUGGAUAAACGAUCGAACAGGUUGAUGUUGCAAUAUCAUCUGAUUAAUUGUGGUUAGUAGUGAAAGACAAAUCUGGUUUGCAGAUAGCUGGUUUUCUAUGAAAUAUAUGUAAGUAUAGCCUUUAUAAAUAAUAAUUAUUAUAUAAUAUUAUAUAAAUAUUAUAUAAAGAAUGGUACAGCAAUUAAUAUAUAUUAGGGAACUAUUAAAGUUUUAUUAAUAAUAUUAAAUCUCGAAAUAUUUAAUUAUAUAUAAUAAAGAGUCAGAUUAUGUGCGAUAAGGUAAAUAAUCUAAAGGGAAACAGCCCAGAUUAAGAUAUAAAGUUCCUAAUAAAUAAUAAGUGAAAUAAAUAUUAAAAUAUUAUAAUAUAAUCAGUUAAUGGGUUUGACAAUAACCAUUUUUUAAUGAACAUGUAACAAUGCACUGAUUUAUAAUAAAUAAAAAAAAUAAUAUUUAAAAUCAAAUAUAUAUAUAUUUGUUAAUAGAUAAUAUACGGAUCUUAAUAAUAAGAAUUAUUUAAUUCCUAAUAUGGAAUAUUAUAUUUUUAUAAUAAUAAUAAAAAUAUAAAUACUGAAUAUCUAAAUAUUAUUAUUACUUUUUUUUUUAAUAAUAAUAAUAUGGUAAUAGAACAUUUAAUGAUAAUAUAUAUUAGUUAUUAAUUAAUAUAUGUAUUAAUUAAAUAGAGAAUGCUGACAUGAGUAACGAAAAAAAGGUAUAAACCUUUUCACCUAAAACAUAAGGUUUAACUAUAAAAGUACGGCCCCUAAUUAAAUUAUAUAAGAAUAUAAAUAUAUUUAAGAUGGGAUAAUCUAUAUUAAUAAAAAUUUAUCUUAAAAUAUAUAUAUUAUUAAUAAUUAUAUUAAUUAAUUAAUAAUAUAUAUAAUUAUAUUAUAUAUUAUAUUUUUAUAUAUAAUAUAUAUAAUAUAAACUAAUAAAGAUCAGGAAAUAAUUAAUGUAUACCGUAAUGUAGACCGACUCAGGUAUGUAAGUAGAGAAUAUGAAGGUGAAUUAGAUAAUUAAAGGGAAGGAACUCGGCAAAGAUAGCUCAUAAGUUAGUCAAUAAAGAGUAAUAAGAACAAAGUUGUACAACUGUUUACUAAAAACACCGCACUUUGCAGAAACGAUAAGUUUAAGUAUAAGGUGUGAACUCUGCUCCAUGCUUAAUAUAUAAAUAAAAUUAUUUAACGAUAAUUUUAUUAAAUUUAGGUAAAUAGCAGCCUUAUUAUGAGGGUUAUAAUGUAGCGAAAUUCCUUGGCCUAUAAUUGAGGUCCCGCAUGAAUGACGUAAUGAUACAACAACUGUCUCCCCUUUAAGCUAAGUGAAAUUGAAAUCGUAGUGAAGAUGCUAUGUACCUUCAGCAAGACGGAAAGACCCUAUGCAGCUUUACUGUAAUUAGAUAGAUCGAAUUAUUGUUUAUUAUAUUCAGCAUAUUAAGUAAUCCUAUUAUUAGGUAAUCGUUUAGAUAUUAAUGAGAUACUUAUUAUAAUAUAAUGAUAAUUCUAAUCUUAUAAAUAAUUAUUAUUAUUAUUAUUAUUAAUAAUAAUAAUAUGCUUUCAAGCAUAGUGAUAAAACAUAUUUAUAUGAUAAUCACUUUACUUAAUAGAUAUAAUUCUUAAGUAAUAUAUAAUAUAUAUUAUAUAUAUAUUAUAUAUAAUAUAAGAGACAAUCUCUAAUUGGUAGUUUUGAUGGGGCGUCAUUAUCAGCAAAAGUAUCUGAAUAAGUCCAUAAAUAAAUAUAUAAAAUUAUUGAAUAAAAAAAUAAUAUAUAUUAUAUAUAUUAAUUAUAAAUUGAAAUAUGUUUAUAUAAAUUUAUAUUUAUUGAAUAUAUUUUAGUAAUAGAUAAAAAUAUGUACAGUAAAAUUGUAAGGAAAACAAUAAUAACUUUCUCCUCUCUCGGUGGGGGUUCACACCUAUUUUUAAUAGGUGUGAACCCCUCUUCGGGGUUCCGGUUCCCUUUCGGGUCCCGGAACUUAAAUAAAAAUGGAAAGAAUUAAAUUAAUAUAAUGGUAUAACUGUGCGAUAAUUGUAACACAAACGAGUGAAACAAGUACGUAAGUAUGGCAUAAUGAACAAAUAACACUGAUUGUAAAGGUUAUUGAUAACGAAUAAAAGUUACGCUAGGGAUAACAGGGUAAUAUAACGAAAGAGUAGAUAUUGUAAGUUAUGUUUGCCACCUCGAUGUCGACUCAACAUUUCCUCUUGGUUGUAAAAGCUAAGAAGGGUUUGACUGUUCGUCAAUUAAAAUGUUACGUGAGUUGGGUUAAAUACGAUGUGAAUCAGUAUGGUUCCUAUCUGCUGAAGGAAAUAUUAUCAAAUUAAAUCUCAUUAUUAGUACGCAAGGACCAUAAUGAAUCAACCCAUGGUGUAUCUAUUGAUAAUAAUAUAAUAUAUUUAAUAAAAAUAAUACUUUAUUAAUAUAUUAUCUAUAUUAGUUUAUAUUUUAAUUAUAUAUUAUCAUAGUAGAUAAGCUAAGUUGAUAAUAAAUAAAUAUUGAAUACAUAUUAAAUAUGAAGUUGUUUUAAUAAGAUAAUUAAUCUGAUAAUUUUAUACUAAAAUUAAUAAUUAUAGGUUUUAUAUAUUAUUUAUAAAUAUAAUAUAAUAAUUAUUAUUAUUAAUAAAAAAAAUAUUAAUUAUA
rnacentral:rRNA from 1 species